AAGAAGAAGAAGAAGAAAUAAAGAACAAUGGGAGUUAAACUUCUAAUAGACUAUAUUAAGGGUAAAUAACCACCUUUUUGUUUUCAGGACCUUUCAAUUCCAUUCAAUUCAGUCAACAAACAAUAUGCUGAGCAUUUCUAGCCCUUGGUUAGAUCUGAGGAAUGAAAGCAGUUAAGAUACAGCCUUUACUCAGAGGGGGGAAAAUGCCAUUGUACAAAAGUACCCUUCAGUAUGGUAAGUGCUACCUGUAGCUCUUUUGAAUGACCCAUUCCAUUGGACAGCCCUUGCUAAUUUAAAGUCCUUUUUUUGGACUAAACUAAAAUCUGUCUUUAUUUAAUUUCUCUUGAUUGGUCCCAGUUUUGUCCUCUUCAUUUACUUAACCCAUAAACACCAAUUGUAUUUGUGUACCAUACAUCCACCCAGCUCUCUUCAUAGACAAAUAGGACAUGAUCCUUGCCCUCAGAAAGGUUAGUAUAUAAUUCUGCAACGUUGAGGAAGUUGUUUAACCUUUCUAAAUUCAUUUCCCUCCCCUAGGAGUCAAGGAUAGUAUUUAGUACCUACUUCCUAGAAUUGUUUUGAGGAUUAAGUGAAUAUUAAAGGAUUAAUGAAUAUUAAAGGCCUGAUAUACAGCUUUCAACAAAUUCUAGCUAUUAUUAUAUCCCUGUGUUUAAAGAGGGAUCCUGGCUCAUAAAUUAGCAUUUGUAGGGUUGAUAUGAAUGCCCUAAAAUAAGUAAACACAGAGUGCUAUGGGAGUAUACCAGAGAAACACCUAAUCUUAGCUAAAGAGGAUAAGGGAACACCCUACAGGAAGAAACAUCUGAACUCAGUGGUGCAGGACUAAACAGUGGGGUUGGAAAGGGCACACCUAACUCCAGGGACAGAGGUGAGAGCCAGGAAGAUUCAGGCUACUUCAGUUGUUCAGACUGGCUACUUUCAGGAAAGUUAAAAUACAAAUGGCCUUGGAUGCCAUGGUAAGUAAAGAUGAAUCAUGAAGGUAAUGGGGAACUAGUGAAAGCAUGCUGCACAAUUUACUUUCAACUUGGUAACAUCUCUGGCAGCAGUAAAGAUAAAGUGGGCAAGAGUAGGUAGGAAAACCAGUUAGGAUGCUAUUUCUGUGUUACUAUUGAGAAAUAUCUUAAAUAAGGCAGUGAUAGAGGGGAGAAGAAAACUGUUUCAAAAGUGAAUAAGAGCCCAAUAACCAAUUAAAUGUAAAUGUAGGAAGUAAGAAAGAGGAGGUGUUAAAGGUCAUUCUUAAAAGGUUACCUUGAAUGAGUGAAAGGUGAUGACAUUGGUUCAUAGGAAGCAUGGGUGACAGGGGGGGCGGGGAGGGUGGCAAGUAAGUUCAACUAUAGACAUGUUGAGUUUGAAAAAGGCUAGGCACUUGACCAUUCAUAUCAGGAGUUUGGAACUGGUCUGGGGCUGCAGAUUUGGGAUUUGUGGACAGGUGUUAAUUGAAGCCUCCAUGUAAAUGUGUAGUGGAGGGCCAACAUUAAGGGGUGAGUGAAGACCUCAUAAUGUUGAUUGAGAGCAAAUAUGUUAGAGAAAAAUUGAGAAAUAACACUAUCCCAGAAACAGAGAUCUUUAAGUCAACAGUCACAAAUGCUCCAGUGAUAAAAUUGUUCUUUGGAUUAAGCAACUUGGAAGUCAUUGGGCAAGAGCUGUUUCAGAGUAGUGAAGGGACCAGAAUCUAGAUUGCCAGAGAUUGUGGAGUUGAGAUAGGAAGUGGGUGAAGAAGACAUGCCUGGAGGCUCCCUCUUGAGGAGCUGUUGAAGAAGGAAAGAUAUUGUAGAAGCUAGAGUGGGAAGGCUGGAUUGAGGAGAGUUGACCUUUUCUUUGUCCACAUAAAACAGGGUGGAGAAAGGGAAAGUUGAAGAUUAGAAUAGAUAAAAGUAAAUAAUAAAAGAGGAUUCCUGAGAAGACAGAAAAGGCAACAUUUUGUGGAGGAUUAUGUCCUGAACAGGAAGAAGGGGCUCCUCCUCCAUUAAGUAGAGCUAUGUGGACAGAGGGACAUCUAAAGGGGAGAGAAGACUUGAAUUGUUUGCUGAUGUCUCUGAAUCCAAAUCAACUUUUGAGAGUUGAUAAGGAAAAUGGGGGAGGGACUGAGGUACAGGAACUUAAACCAGUCUAUAAAAAAGAGGAGAAACCAGAAAAACGUGGGAAAUGGCAGCAUUACCUUUGGGGCCCUAUGCUUUGUCAAUGACUCCCUUGAGUAAUGAAGACACCCACACUGAGCUGCAGUAAAUGGGGUCUGACUAGCACAAUGUAAAGGGAGACUGUUAGUUCCCUUAUUCAGAAUCUUAUACUUUUACUAAUAGAGCCUCAAAUUGGAUAAGCUAUUUUUUUAACAGCUCUUUCAUUAUGAAAGACUAAGAAAAAGCAUUUCUCCAGAAGCUAGGGUCAGAGAAAAUUUUGAGUAAUUAUUACUGCUCAAAAGAAUGAUCCAGCUAUGAAAGUCAGGAAUUAAUUCAGAAAUUGUUGUUUAAGUUGGAAAACUCCCUAAACAUUUUCAAUACAGAGACAAACACAGCAAGAAUUAGUUGAAAAAAUGAAGGCCCGGUUCAAUGUUUUAAAUGUUUGUUGAAUGUUAAAUGCAGCUUACAUAGAAAUCCAAUAAGGAUUUGAUAUGGAUAUGCUAUUAUCGGUGACUUAGUUGGAAACAAAAUUGAACUAUAGAUGGAGUUUGUUUUCCAGAACAUUGUUUUAAAAUGUUUUGUUCAUUCAUCAUUCUCUGUUUAUCCUGCAACUGGCCACUUGACACUUACAUUAAUUUCCUCGCCGCUAAAGCUAUGAGUUUGAUAUCCUGCUUCACUAUGCUCUAAGAUCUACCAUUCAACUACAUCAGAUGAAAGUUAUAACCAAUCGUUUUAUCAACCUCAGGUAGAACUGCUUUUACUGAAUUGCUAUUUUAUGUGGAAUCAUCAGCUUGUAUUGCAAGAUGCAAUAAUAAAAUGUCUUCAUAAACU